rnacentral:rRNA from 1 species
CAAUAGCGUAUAUUAAAGUUGUUGCGGUUAAAAAGCUCGUAGUUGGAUUUCUGCUGAGGACGACCGGUCCGCCCUCCGGGUGAGCAUCUGGUUCGGCCUUGGCAUCUUCUUGGUGAACGUAUCUGCACUUGACUGUGUGGUGCGGUACCCAGGACUUUUACUGUGAGAAAAUUAGAGUGUUCAAAGCAGGCUUAGGCCGUUGAAUGUAUUAGCAUGGAAUAAUAAGAUAAGACUUCGGUACUAUUUUGUUGGUUUGCGCACCAAAGUAAUGAUGAACAUGGACAGUUGGGGGUAUUUGUAUUUUCUUGUCAGAGGUGAAAUUCUUAGAUUUUGGAAAGACAAACAAUUGCGAAAGCAUUUACCAAGGAUGUUUUAAUUGAUCAAGAACGAAAGUAUGGGGAUCGAAGACGAUUAGAUACCG